GAUGAACGCUAGCUACAGGCUUAACACAUGCAAGUCGCGGGGCAGCAUGGGGGUUGCUUGCAAUCCCCGAUGGCGACCGGCGCACGGGUGAGUAACGCGUAUCCAACCUGCCCUUCACCACGGGAUAACCCGGCGAAAGUCGGACUAAUACCGUAUGUUGUCCAUUGACGGCAUCCGAUUUGGACGAAAGGUUUGGCGGUGAAGGAUGGGGAUGCGUCCGAUUAGCUGGACGGCGGGGUGACGGCCCACCGUGGCGACGAUCGGUAGGGGUUCUGAGAGGAAGGUCCCCCACACUGGAACUGAGACACGGGCCAGACUCCUACGGGAGGCAGCAGUGAGGAAUAUUGGUCAAUGGGCGUAAGCCUGAACCAGCCAAGUAGCGUGCAGGAUGACGGCGCUAGGGGUUGUAAACUGCUUUUAUGCGGGGAUAAAGUGGCCCACGUGUGGGUUUUUGCAGGUACCGCAUGAAUAAGGACCGGCUAAUUCCGUG
rnacentral:rRNA from 1 species